GGAGUAUGUGGCUUAAUUUGACUCAACGCGGAAAAGCUUAUCUGGUCCGGACACAGUGAGGAUUGACAGACAGUUGGCAGGAGUGGUUCUUGGUAAAAACAAAUGAGAGAGUUGAAGUUCUUUCAUGAUCUUGUGAGAGGUGGUGCAUGGCCGUUCUUAGUUCGUGUAGUGAUAUGUCUGCCUAAUCGCGUCACGAUAACCUAUUGGUCGACAACCCAAUUAUCACAACUGCAGCAUAACUCCCCUUGGGUGGGCGAGGCUCUGUGUAGGAUAGACCUCUGAACAGUACGCAACGAACGCGAUCGUAAUCCCUUGUUGAGUGGCCAUCCUGUAAGCUGCUGGAUUUGAAACCCAGUGGUAUUAUCUCAGCCACAGAUUUUCUGGUUGUAAUGGGCCAGUUUUGAAACUCGGGGAACAUCUGUGACUUUCUUUCUUAACGCAGAGGAAGGUUAUGGCAAUAACA
rnacentral:rRNA from 1 species